GAUGAACGCUGGCGGCGUGCCUCAAACAUGCAAGUCGAGCGGGGCUAUGUAAUAUCGCAAGGUAGAACAUAGCCUAGCGGCGAACGGGUGAGUAACACGUGGGUAACCUGCCUGGAAGACAGGGAUAACGAUUCGAAAGGGUCGCUAAUACCUGAUAAUAUCCUUUCAUCGCAUGGUGAUAGGAAGAAAGGGGAAACCCGCUUUCAGAUGGGCCCGCGUCCCAUCAGCUAGUUGGUAAGGUAAAGGCUUACCAAGGCGACGACGGGUAGCCGGUCUGAGAGGAUGUACGGCCACACUGGGACUGAGAUACGGCCCAGACUCCUACGGGAGGCAGCAGUUGGGAAUCUUAGGCAAUGGACGAAAGUCUGACCUAGCGACGCCGCGUGAGGAGAAGCCUUCGGUGUAACUCUGUCAUGGGGAGAAGUAAGUGACGGUACCCCAAGAGGAAGCCCCUGCUAACUACGUG
rnacentral:rRNA from 1 species